AUACGGAGGAUGCAAGCGUUAUCCGGAUUUAUAGGGUUUAAAGGGUUCGUAGGCGGAAAAUUAAGUCAGUGGUGAAAGCCUGCAGCUCAACUGCAGAACUGCCAUUGAUACUGAUUUUCUUGAAUUUAUAUGAAGUGGGCGGAAUGCGUCAUGUAGCGGUGAAAUGCACAGAUAUGACGCAGAACACCAAUUGCGAAGGCAGCUCACUAAUGUAAUAUUGACGCUGAGGAACGAAAGCAUGGGGAGCGAACAGGAUUAGAAACCCUUGUAGUCC
rnacentral:rRNA from 1 species